rnacentral:rRNA from 1 species
AGAGUGAACGCUGGCGGUAGGCCUAACACAUGCAAGUCGAACGGCAGCACGGUAAGAGCUUGCUCUUAUGGGUGGCGAGUGGCGGACGGGUGAGGAAUACAUCGGAAUCUACCUUUUGGUGGGGGAUAACGUAGGGAAACUUACGCUAAUACCGCAUACGCCCUUCGGGGGAAAGCCGGGGACCAGCAAUGGCCUGGCGCUGAUAGAUGAGCCGAUGUCGGAUUAGCUAGUUGGUGAGGUAAUGGCUCACCAAGGCGACGAUCCGUAGCUGGUCUGAGAGGAUGAUCAGCCACACUGGAACUGAGACACGGUCCAGACUCCUACGGGAGCAGCAGUGGGAAUAGUUGGACAAUGGGCGCAAGCCUGAUCCAGCCAUACCGCGUAGGGUGAAAGAGGCCGUUACGGGUUGUAAACGGUCCCUUUUAGGUUACGGAAAAGAAAAGCGUAAUCGGUUAAAUACCCGGUUGUUCGUAGAACCGGUAACCAAAAG